CUCUUAACUGCUGAGCCAUCUCUCCAGCCUUGGAAUGACUUUUAAAAAUAGAAAGCAAAUGUUGAUGAACAGGGAGAGAAGACUGGGACCCUUGCUUCCUGAUGCUGGCAGUUUAAAGUGGAGCCAUUGCUAUGGGAAACACUGACUGCUCUGCUAACCGGGGUUAGCAAGGGACCAGGUGGUGCCCACUUCUAGAUGCACUCAAACUGAGAGCAAGCACUGAAGUGUGUGCAGCCCCGAGUUCAUAGCAACACCAUCCAUGGGGACGCCAUCCAAGUGUCACGGACAGACAGAUGGGCAAAGAAGAUGUGGCAUAUCCCAACCAUAAUCCAGUAUUCCUUCUGAAAAAGUAAUGAGACUCAGACACGUGCUACAAUCUGUUUUGAUGCAAUCUCUACAAGAGACUCCAGGUACCAUAUGAUAGACAGCCUACCGGGCUCUCUGGAGCUACCAGAUAAAGUCACGUGUCCCAAGAUAUCCGUGAACCAGCUAUGCAGAACGUCCUCGGACUUCAAAUCUUCCUCUGAGUGCUUGGAUUACAAGAGUGUGCCAUCCUGGCUGUUUUGCAGGAAUGGGGCUCUAAGACAGAGCCUUGUGUGCUAAAACCUCAGCCCCUGUUAACAUUUUCCUGACUUGCCUUGGUUUUUACUUAAGUCAUGGAUUUGUUGUUUUAAAGGUUAAUUUUUAAAUUGUGUGCAUAUGUGUCAGGAAAUACACGAAAAUGUGUGCGAAGGUGCUCCGAGUCUAGAAAGGGAUGAUCUAGUCCCCUGGAGCUGGAGUUACAGUUGUGAGUUCCACAGUGUAGGGGCUGGGAGCCCAACUGUGGACCUCUAUAGAGGAGCUGCUCCAUCUCUCUGGCCUUCGAUUUUUUUUUUUUAAGAGAAAAUGGAUGCCGGGUGUGGUGGGUGUACGCCUUUACUCCCAGGCCUCGGGAUGCAGAGGCAAGCAGAUCUCUGAGUGUGAGGCCAGCCUGGUCUACAGAGCAAGUUCCAGAACAUCCAGAAAUACACAAAGACACCUAUCUCAAAAAAAAAAAAAAAAAAACAAACCAAAUAAACAAAAAGGAGUAAAUUAAUAAAGCUAUUUUUCAAAAAAUCCCAGUUCUAAAAAGUUAACGACAGAACACACACACACUACACACACACUACACACACACACACACACACACACACACACACACACACACACAGUUUGAAUAAGAAAUGCCUUGAAUAGGCUCACGUAUAUGUGUGUGUAUGUGUACAUGGAUGUGCUCAUGUGUGUAUGUGUGUGUGUGUAUGUACAUGUACAAGUACACAUGUGUAUUGGUUGCUUUUGUCUUUUGAGGCAGACUAUAAUGUUACCCUGAUUGGCUUAGAACUCAUUAUGUAGACCAGGCCGGUAGUGAACUCAUAGAGAUCCUCCUGCUUCUGUCUCCCAAGUUCUGAUAUGAGAGUACUGACGAAUACUUGAUACCAAGUACUGACACUGCCCCCAGCAAUAGUCGAACAUUUGGUUCUCAGUGAAUUGUACUGUUUGGCAAGGUUUAGAUGUGGCCUUGUUGGAGUAAGAGUGUCACUGUAAAACGUCUUGCUUUUUUAAAAAAAGAUUUUUUAUCUGUGUAUUUUACAUAUAUGAGUCUGCAUGUACAUCUGCAUACCAGAAGGUGGCAUCGGCUGUGAGCUGACAUGUGGGUCCUGGGAAUUGAACUCAGGAUCUUCAGAAGAGCAGUGAGGGCUCUUAAACACUGAGCUAUCUCUCCAGCCCUGAACUCUUGCUACUUUUGUUCUCUCCUUCUCUCCCCCUCUCCCUGCUUUGAGCUUUUACCUGCCACCAGGAUUCCUUGCCAUGGUGAACUUACCCCACUGGAAUCGUAAGUUCAAACAAACUUUCUUCUAUAAGUUGCCUCAGUUGUGGUGUGUGGGUUGAUGUCAUUAUGCAUGUGAAGGCAGAUAAGAUAAAAUGGGGUCUGUCAUUGGACAAGAAGGAAAGGAGGUGGGAACAGAGGUUUUGGAAGGGAGCGAGAGGCAGAGAGAGGGGAGUGAGGAGGAAGGAGCUGAGAGAACAUGGCAGCAGAUGUUAAGAUGCUUCUCUGCGCAUAGGUACUGGUUUUAUGACUAUUUUUAAGGGACGGGUGUGUACAGGAUGUUGUAUUGUCUAGAUGGGCAAAUUAUAUCAUAUUGAUUGGAUCAGAGGUUACUGUGUGGUGUGUUCUUUCAUGUGGCGACUUUACUGAGUUGAAGAGAGUACAUGUUGGCGGGACACACCAGGCUGCCAUGGAACUGGGAUGUGUAUGUCUGGCGUGGCAACAACCCUCCCUGGGAACUGGAUGGGUAGGUAGAGAGAUUGCCACGGGCUCAGAGAGUAGCGGUCAGCAGUGUGGGAUGGGAUGGAGCUGUGACUGAGGGCAGCGUGCCACGACUCGUGGACCACCCAGAUCAGAGGGAGCUGGGAGAGAAAGAGUGGAACGGUCAGUACGUGUGGGAACCAUUCUGCCCUUUUUUAUUUUUUACCUCAGCGCUGGUGCCCUAUUACGGCAACAGGAAAGUAACCUUUGUACACACUUAAGCUUCUGAGCCCCGUGCUACUUGAUAACUGGUACAGGUCGUAAACAUCCUUUUCCUCAUUUUUGAGGGAUCUGCGUAAGCAAGGUCACGGUGAGCUGUUCUUCAUCAGCCAUAGAAAUUCAGGGAGGAGCAAAAGGCACACAUCAUCUACUCACAACACUUUCACUGGUUGAUGGAGCACUGGUCAACCAUCUGUUACCAUAACAACCUCUGAGAUCGUCAAGUUGGAGAGACAAGAAGUUUAGCUUGGCUCACAGUUUUAAAUCUCCCACCAUCCCCUUCAGGGGAUUUCCGAAAUGACAGAAGACUGCCCACUAGGUCCACCUCCUGAUGUGUCUACUACCUCCCCAUAGGGCCAAGAGAACAAGUCUUUAAUGCAUAGACCUUUGGGGGACACUCUAGAACCAAACUACAGUACCUGCGUGCCCACAGUGUUCUGGUUCAAGGACUCCUAGGCCUACCAGGAUGUUUGAAUCUCCAUAUAAAAUAGUGCAGGACCUGCAACCUGUGCAUAACCCCCUAUAGACCCGACACCAUUUUAUCAAAUGCCUUGAUAUAGUGUACUGUUCACCCCAGGGACGGAACUGUCCCCUUUAGUUCUUUACAGAGUAAGGAGGAGAAAACGAUCUGUUUGUAUUCAGUACUAUGCAAAAUACUUAAAAAAAUUUAUUUAUUAUAUAUAAGUACACUGUAGCUGUCUUCAGACACCAGAAGAGGACAUUGGAUUCCAUUACAGAUGUUUGUGAGCCAACAUGUUGUUGCUGGGAAUUGAACUCAGGACCUCUGGAAGAGCAGUCAGUGCUCUUAACCACUGAGCCAUCUCUCAAGCCCCACAAAAUACUUUCAAAAUCUGCUUGGCUGCAUUGUGGGUACGUGGACACGGUGAGCACCACGGGGCGACUGUAUUGUUAGUAUUGUUAAUGCAUAUCUGGUAUCUGGAAAAAUAAAGGUUUCUGGUGCUGUG